AUGAACGCUGGCGGCGUGCCUAAUACAUGCAAGUCGAGCGAACAGACGAGGAGCUUGCUCCUCUGACGUUAGCGGCGGACGGGUGAGUAACACGUGGAUAACCUACCUAUAAGACUGGGAUAACUUCGGGAAACCGGAGCUAAUACCGGAUAAUAUAUUGAACCGCAUGGUUCAAUAGUAAAAGACGGUUUUGCUGUCACUUAUAGAUGGAUCCGCGCCGCAUUAGCUAGUUGGUAAGGUAACGGCUUACCAAGGCAACGAUGCGUAGCCGACCUGAGAGGGUGAUCGGCCACACUGGAACUGAGACACGGUCCAGACUCCUACGGGAGGCAGCAGUAGGGAAUCUUCCGCAAUGGGCGAAAGCCUGACGGAGCAACGCCGCGUGAGUGAUGAAGGUCUUCGGAUCGUAAAACUCUGUUAUUAGGGAAGAACAAAUGUGUAAGUAACUAUGCACGUCUUGACGGUACCUAAUCAGAAAGCCACGGCUAACUACGUG
rnacentral:rRNA from 1 species